rnacentral:rRNA from 1 species
CCUACGGGUGGCAGCAGUGAGGAAUAUUGGGCAAUGGGCGCAAGCCUGACCCAGCAACGCCGCGUGAAGGAUGACGGUUUUCGGAUUGUAAACUUCUGUCGCUAGGGACGAAGAAUGACGGUCCCUCGUAAGAAAGCCCCGGCUAACUGAGUGCCAGCCGCCUCGGUAAUACUUAGGAGGCAAGCGUUUUCCGACAGGACUGGGCGUAAAGUGAUUGUAGGCGGCUUAUCAAGUUAGAUGUGAAAUCCCGCGGCUUAACCGCGGAACUGCAUUUAACACGGGGGGUCUGGAGUGCAGGAGAGGUGAGGGGAAUUCGUAGUGUAGCGGUGGAAUGCGUAGAUAUUAGGAAGAACACCAGAGGCGAAGGCGACUCACUGGACUGUAACUGACGCUGAGGCUCGAAAGCGUGGGGAGCAAACAGGAUUAGAUACCCGAGUAGUC